UACGGGGGGAGCAAGCGUUGUUCGGAUUUACUGGGCGUAAAGGGCUCGUAGGCGGUUUGUCGCGUCGGGAGUGAAAACCUCGGGCUUAACUCGGGGCUUGCUUUCGAUACGGGCAGACUAGAGGUAUGCAGGGGAGAACGGAAUUCCUGGUGUAGCGGUGAAAUGCGCAGAUAUCAGGAGGAACACCGGUGGCGAAGGCGGUUCUCUGGGCAUGAUCUGACGCUGAGGAGCGAAAGUGUGGGGAGCGAACAGG
rnacentral:rRNA from 1 species